ACGGCGUGUAGCGCAGCCCGGUAGCGCAUCGGUCUGGGGGACCGGAGGUCUCAGGUUCGAUGCCUGAUGCCCCU
rnacentral:tRNA from 1 species